rnacentral:rRNA from 1 species
UACGUAGGGUGCAAGCGUUAAUCGGAAUUACUGGGCGUAAAGCGUGCGCAGGCGGCUUUGCAAGACAGAUGUGAAAUCCCCGGGCUCACCUGGGAACUGCAUUUGUGACUGCAUGGCUGGAGUGCGGCAGAGGGGGGAUGGAAUUCCGCGUGUAGCAGUGAAAUGCGUAGAUAUGCGGAGGAACACCGAUGGCGAAGGCAGCCCCCUGGGCUAACACUGACGCCUCAGGCACGAAAGCGUGGGGAGCAAACAGG